GAUGAACGCUAGCGGCAGGCUUAAUACAUGCAAGUCGUGGGGCAGCAGGGGUGUAGCAAUACAUCUGCUGGCGACCGGCAAACGGGUGCGUAACACGUACGCAACCUUCCCGUUACUGUGGCAUAGCCCAGGGAAACUUGGAUCAAUACCACAUAUUAUAUAGAGAGGGCAUCCUUUUUAUAUAAAAGCUUCGGCGGUAACGGAUGGGCGUGCGGUUGAUUAGGUAGUUGGCGGGGUAACGGCCCAACAAGCCUACGAUCAAUAGCUGAUGUGAGAGCAUGAUCAGCCACACGGGCACUGAGAGACGGGCCCGACUCCUACGGGAGGCAGCAGUAAGGAAUAUUGGGCAAUGGACGGAAGUCUGACCCAGCCAUGCCGCGUGAAGGAUUAAGGUCCUCUGGAUUGUAAACUUCUUUUCUCUGGGGCGAAAACCAGCUAUUCUUAGCUAUUUUACAGUACCAGAGGAAUAAGCACCGGCUAACUCCGUGCCAGCCGCCGCAGUAAGAC
rnacentral:rRNA from 1 species